CGCCGAAGCACUUGUGUCUUGAGUAGCGAAGGGUUCCAGUGCACUUGUAUUCACAGGCAGUGCUGUCAUGCACAUGGCAUAGCGUUUGUGUAUGAAGCUGACAUGCUAUAAGGGCCAAAAGUAGAGUGCGCCAUGAGGUCAAGGCAUUCCAUCUACCAAACCUGUGAGCUAGCAAAAAUAAGCAUGGUAACAUACUCCUCAGAGUCUUAACGAGUCUAUAUUGUCCCUGCACAAUUUUCGUUAUCACAAGGUGGUGGUGCUGGUGCCAAGCACAGGCUGACUCAGGAGGGGAAUUUCAAUUUACCCAGUGGCAGAGAAUUUGUCAGGAGUGAACAAGUCUUUGCCGGUGUGCUGGUAUUAUCGUCACUAAACUGUUGGAGUCAUGGCAGUAGAUCAGAGAUAGGUACAUCAUCCAUCCAACGGGCCCGUCAAGUUGUGUCCAAAUCGUCUGCAGCAACCACGCGGUGCAUAAAUCACAUCACAUCUUUGAGGAGCAUUGGGUGGUAUUUUUUGAAAGCUGGGAUCAAUAUUGUGAUACAUAUAGAUUUAUGUGCUCCCCGCGAACACGCCGCUCUUGCUUGCGUUACGAGUCGUAAGGCAAGCUUUAAGAUUGAGAUAAUUGCAUGCAUUCGAAACGUGCCCCUUGUGGCAUUCGAUGAGCAUGCGUCCAAUACAAAGUUGUUCCAAUAUAAUAAUGGUAUUGGGGAUAAUACAGCAAUUUACCUGCAAGGUUAGAGAGCUUCCUCAGCGCUAGGCGACUUAAGCUUUGAACCCACAGCAUGGCACCAUUGCCCUGCAC
rnacentral:lncRNA from 1 species